GAGUUUGAUCAUGGCUCAGGAUGAACGCUAGCGGCACGCUUCAUACAUGCAAGUCGAGGGGCAGCAUAAAGUACUUGUACUUUGAUGGCGACCGGCGAACGGGUGCGUAACGCGUAUGCAACUUACCUUUUACUAGAGAAUAGCCAAGAGAAAUUUUGAUUAAUGCUCUAUACUCUUUUUAACUCACAUGAGAUUUUAAGAAAAGCUUCGGCGGUAAAAGAUGGGCAUGCGUCCUAUUAGCUUGUAGGUGAGGUAACGGCUCACCUAAGCUCCGAUAGGUAGGGGUCCUGAGAGGGAGAUCCCCCACACUGGUACUGAGACACGGACCAGACUUCUACGGAAGGCAGCAGUAAGGAAUAUUGGACAAUGGAGGAAACUCUGAUCCAGCGAUGCCGCGUGAAGGAAGACGGCCCUAUGGGUUGUAAACUUCUUUUAUACAGGAAGAAACCUUUCCACGUGUGGAAAGCUGACGGUACUGUAAGAAUAAGGAUCGGCUAGCUCCGUGCCAGCAGCCGCGGUAAUACGGAGGAUCCAAGCGUUAUCCGGAAUUAUUGGGUUUAAAGGGUCCGCAGGCUGUUUGUUAAGUCAGGGGUGAAAUCCUACCGCUCAACGGUAGAACUGCCUUUGAUACUGGCAAACUUGAGUUAUUGUGAAGUAGUUAGAAUGUGUAGUGUAGCGGUGAAAUGCAUAGAUAUUACACAGAAUACCAAUUGCGAAGGCAGAUUACUAACAAUUAACUGACGCUGAGGGACGAAAGCGUGGGUAGCGAACAGGAUUAGAUACCCUGGUAGUCCACGCCGUAAACGAUGGUCACUAGCUGUUCGAUGUACAUUGGUACAUUGAGUGGCUAAGCGAAAGUGGUAA
rnacentral:rRNA from 1 species